rnacentral:misc_RNA from 1 species
UCUCCGUAGGUGAACCUGCGGAGGGAUCAUUACUGAGUGAGGGCCUUCGGGCUCGACCUCCAACCCUUUGUGAACCACCUCGUUGCUUCGGGGGCGACCCUGCCGUUUCGACGGCGAGCGCCCACGGAGGCCUUCAAACACUGCAUCUUUGCGUCGGAGUUUAAACCAAUUAAACAAAACUUUCAACAACGGAUCUCUUGGUUCGGGCAUCGAUGCAGAACGCAGC